UUCUAAUCAAAUUCUGUCGUAAUUUCUCAGGUGUCUGGAAUUUAUGACACACCAUUCAGCAAAUCUCCAAUGAUACAUUUCCGUAACAGGAGUUAUAAAUCCAUUGGCAAUUUCAUUAAUCAGACAAAGAGCUGUGCAGUUAUUGAAAUAACUCCUCAAAUAAUUGCCAACUUGCCAUGCAGUGACAUCACUCCUAGGAGAAGAGCUUUGACAAUUGAUGAUACAGCCCAGGAGAUGGCACAUUCUGGGGGAUAAAUAGAACUGUGAAGGUUAAGAGUGCUACAUACAGAAUCCUGGAGGAAAGAUAACUAAACCUGAGUAUGGUGAUUGUAGAGUCAGAAACAUCUUCCAAAGAAGUGGGCCCUCUAUGAAAUCUCAGAGACAAAAGAGGAGUUUAACAGAUAGAUGAAAAUAUCAGGUAGCUACGUGGGAAGAGCUUUGGAAUGGGGGUAAGAUAUAAAAUGUGUUCCGCUUCAGUUCUUCUGACACCUUGAAUGUAUCAGUUGAUCUCUGAAUCUUGUUUUCUCCUUUACAAAAUAAAAAUGGUAACUUUUCUAAUUUAUGAUAAACUUCCAGAUUGAAAUAAAAUAGUUUAUAGAAAAAAUUCUGUGUGGGAGGAAAAGCUCAAAGGAAAAAAAAAUCAUACUUAUAAUGAAUUUUUCUAAUAAUUGGUACAUCUUGGAAAAUUACGGACAUAAUUCUGACAUCCUUCUGUUAAUUAAAUAUGACUGAAAUGUGAUUUUUGCCUUUUUUCUGAAA
rnacentral:lncRNA from 1 species